rnacentral:rRNA from 1 species
UACGUAGGGUGCAAGCGUUAAUCGGAAUUACUGGGCGUAAAGCGUGCGCAGGCGGUGAUGUAAGUCAGGUGUGAAAUCCCCGGGCUUAACCUGGGAACUGCAUUUGUGACUGCAUUGCUGGAGUGCGGCAGAGGGGGAUGGAAUUCCGCGUGUAGCAGUGAAAUGCGUAGAUAUGCGGAGGAACACCGAUGGCGAAGGCAGCCCCCUGGGCUAACACUGACGCUCAUGCACGAAAGCGUGGGGAGCAAACAGG